GAUGCAAAGCCGCGAGGCAGAGCGAACCCCAAAAAGCCGUCCCAGUUCGGAUCGCAGGCUGCAACCCGCCUGCGUGAAGUCGGAAUCGCUAGUAAUCGCGGAUCAGCAUGCCGCGGUGAAUACGUUCCCGGGCCUUGUACACACCGCCCGUCACACCAUGAGAGUCGGGAACACCCGAAGUCCGUAGCCUAACCGCAAGGAGGGCGCGGCCGAAGGUGGGUUCGAUAAUUGGGGUGAAGUCGUAACAAGGUAUC
rnacentral:rRNA from 1 species